rnacentral:rRNA from 1 species
GAUGAACGCUGGCGGCGUGCCUAAUACAUGCAAGUCGGGCGAACAGAUAAGGAGCUUGCUCCUUUGACGUUAGCGGCGGACGGGUGAGUAACACGUGGGUAACCUACCUAUAAGACUGGGAUAACUUCGGGAAACCGGAGCUAAUACCGGAUAACAUUUGGAACCGCAUGGUUCUAAAGUGAAAGAUGGUUUUGCUAUCACUUAUAGAUGGACCCGCGCCGUAUUAGCUAGUUGGUAAGGUAACGGCUUACCAAGGCGACGAUACGUAGCCGACCUGAGAGGGUGAUCGGCCACACUGGAACUGAGACACGGUCCAGACUCCUACGGGAGGCAGCAGUAGGGAAUCUUCCGCAAUGGGCGAAAGCCUGACGGAGCAACGCCGCGUGAGUGAUGAAGGGUUUCGGCUCGUAAAACUCUGUUAUUAGGGAAGAACAAACGUGUAAGUAACUGUGCACGUCUUGACGGUACCUAAUCAGAAAGCCACGGCUAACUACGUG